AAACCGCAUGGUUUUGAUUUGAAAGGCGCUUUCGGGUGUCGCUGAUGGAUGGACCCGCGGUGCAUUAGCUAGUUGGUGAGGUAACGGCUCACCAAGGCCACGAUGCAUAGCCGACCUGAGAGGGUGAUCGGCCACAUUGGGACUGAGACACGGCCCAAACUCCUACGGGAGGCAGCAGUAGGGAAUCUUCGGCAAUGGACGAAAGUCUGACCGAGCAACGCCGCGUGAGUGAAGAAGGUUUUCGGAUCGUAAAACUCUGUUGUUAGAGAAGAACAAGGAUGAGAGUAACUGUUCGUCCCUUGACGGUAUCUAACCAGAAAGCCACGGCUAACUACGUGCCAGCAGCCGCGGUAAUACGUAGGUGGCAAGCGUUGUCCGGAUUUAUUGGGCGUAAAGCGAGCGCAGGCGGUUUCUUAAGUCUGAUGUGAAAGCCCCGGCUCAACCGGGGAGGGUCAUUGGAAACUGGGAGACUUGAGUGCAGAAGAGGAGAGUGGAAUCCAUGUGUAGCGGUGAAAUGCGUAGAUAUAUGGAGGAACACCAGUGGCGAAGG
rnacentral:rRNA from 1 species